AUGCCUUCCACACCUUCCAUGGCACCAGAUCCACUGAAUAAUGCUUCAAAUUCUUACUAUAUGCUACUUCGAGUGUUGUUCUUUCGUUUGGUCCUCGGUCUUCAAGUUGAGUCUUCCCUUUCCAUGGAGAUAAUUGCCUUUUGGUUGUGGCUCCAACAAGGGAAUGGCCAAGUUGGUUACCUUGAGCACAUAUACUCUCUUGGUGACAAUCAUUUUCGCGCAAUUGCUUCUUCCGCAAAACGUUUUCUGGAAGUUCUCCAUUUUGCGUUUGAUGGUUCAGAGGCUAGAUCUAUACCAAGAAGUGACUUUCAGAAUCAAGCUAUUGAAGGAAUUUCUCUCUACCUCAAUACUAUCUGUUAUGAGGCCUUAGAAGAUCUUCGAGAAAGGAUAGAGAUGAAAUUUGUCCGUAAUCAGAUGAGAUACCUGCGCCAAGAAGCCUAUGGACAGUCCAGGACAGAUCGGGUUCCUGCUGCAAGCUCGAUGACAGAUCUAUACCAAGAGGCCUAUGGAGAAUCAUCGCAUGAACAGAUUCCUAAUAUCUCAAUGACAGAUCUAUACCAAGAGGUCUAUGGAGAAUCAUCGCAUGAACAGAUUCCUAAUAGAUCGAAACACCUUCUUACCAAGAUCAAGGCUUUGUAUGCUAACAAUCCGAAGCAUCAUGGAGAAGGCACAAGUUCUAGAAAUAUCCAUGUUCAAACAAGUCAAUUGCGUCAUGGAGAAUGCUCAAGUUCAAGUAACAUCCAUGCUCAAACAAGUCAUAUGCUCCGCCAUGACUAUCAGUCCACCUCCCAUUUGGCAGCAUUGCUGGAUAAGUUGAUCUUAAGAGAGAACCAUAAUGAUGCAAUCACGCAACAACUAUCUGAUAUUCCAAUUCCACCUGAUGAGAGAACUUUGUUCGUGACAUUUUCUAAUGGCUACCCACUGACCAAAGAUGAACUACAUGAAUUUUUUAUGAGGCACUAUGGAGAUAUUGAAGAAAUAAGUGUAGAGGAGCCAAUCGAAAGUAGGCCACCACUUUACGCACACGUUACAUUUUACUCGCAGAUGACACUAUUCCGUGUUCUUGAUGGGAACAGGAGAGUCAAGUUCAUGACCAGGGGAAAACAUCUAUGGGCUCGACAGUAUGUGCCAAAGAAGAAGAAACCUGAUGUCUGA
rnacentral:rRNA from 1 species